UGGGGAAUAUUGGACAAUGGGCGAAAGCCUGAUCCAGCCAUGCCGCGUGUGUGAAGAAGGUCUUCGGAUUGUAAAGCACUUUAAGUUGGGAGGAAGGGCAGUAAGCGAAUACCUUGCUGUUUUGACGUUACCGACAGAAUAAGCACCGGCUAACUCUGUGCCAGCAGCCGCGGUAAUACAGAGGGUGCAAGCGUUAAUCGGAAUUACUGGGCGUAAAGCGCGCGUAGGGGUUCGUUAAGUUGAAUGUGAAAGCCCCGGGCUCAACCUGGGAACUGCAUCCAAAACUGGCGAGCUAGAGUAGGGCAGAGGGUGGUGGAAUUUCCUGUGUAGCGGUGAAAUGCGUAGAUAUAGGAAGGAACACCAGUGGCGAAGGCGACCACCUGGGCUCAUACUGACACUGAGGUGCGAAAGCGUGGGGAGCAAACAGG
rnacentral:rRNA from 1 species